rnacentral:pre_miRNA from 1 species
AGGAGCAACAGCCCUAGUGGCGGGGCCAGCUCUGGAGCCCUAGAUUCAGCCCCCGCAGGAACUCCGGAGCUCUCCGUCUGCAGGGCCUGGAGGCUCCGGGGCGGG